GACGAACGCUGGCGGCGUGCUUAACACAUGCAAGUCGAGCGAUGAAGCACCUUCGGGUGUGAAUUAGCGGCGAACGGGUGAGGAACACGUGAGAAAUCUGCCUUCAACUCUGGGAUAACUCCGGGAAACCGGGGCUAAUACCGGAUAUGAGCCUUGAUCGCAUGAUCGGGGCUGGAAAGUUUUUCGGUUGAAGAUGAUCUCGCGGCCUAUCAGCUUGUUGGUGAGGUAAUGGCUCACCAAGGCGACGACGGGUAGCCGGCCUGAGAGGGCGACAGGCCACACUGGGACUGAGACACGGCCCAGACUCCUACGGGAGGCAGCAGUGGGGAAUAUUGGGCAAUGGAGGAAACUCUGACCCAGCGACGCCGCGUGAGGGAUGAAGGCCUUCGGGUUGUAAACCUCUUUCAGUAGGGAAGAAGCGAAAGUGACGGUACCUACAGAAGAAGCACCGGCUAACUAUGUGCCAGCAGUCGCCGUAA
rnacentral:rRNA from 1 species